AAUAAAACGGGUCAAAAAAAUAUCGAUGAAAUAUUGGUGAAAAAGGGACAAAAAACGACUAACAAAUUGACAAAAAUGACACAAAAGGGUCAAAAAGGCACCAAAACAGGAAUAAGUGAAAACAGGGACAUGUGAGGGAAAAAUGCGAUGAAUAAAAUCGUCCAAAAAGAAAAUUAGAAAAAAAAAAGGCAAACAAAAUCGGUAAUAAAAUGGAAUCAAAAAGACGUGACAAAGGAAAGGCAAUAAAAAACAGCCAAAGGAAAAAGACGCCAACAAGAACUUCGAAAAGGGGUAGAAAAAAGCUCUCACAAAAGAAAAAAAGUAACAAAAAAAAUUUGAAAAAAAGAAGAGAGAAGAAAAAGUACAAAAAACAAGACAAAAAUAAGGACAAAAAUGUGGGCCAACAAAAAAAAGCGUCAAAAAAAAGGUGACAUAAGGCGGUUAAAAGAAACAAAAAUUGCGUUAUAAAAAAUGACCAAAGAACAAUAAAAAGAGCAAUAAAAAAGGGCGAUAAAAACGGAGGAUAAAAUAGCGAUACACAAAACGGCAAAAAAGGGACACAAAAACACAAAAUAGGUCCAUUAAAAAAGAUGAUAAAAAUGCCAAAAAAGCAGCAGAUAAAAGAAAAAGUGAAAAAAGGGGGAAAAAAAUGCGACAAAGUAGGGGCAACAAAAAGUACCUCAAAGAAAAAAGGCGCCAAGGAAACCUCAAAAAGUUCUUAAAAAAUCUCACACAAAGGAGAAAAAAGGGAACAAAAAAUGUGAAAAAGAGACAAAACAGGAAGACUAAAUGCCGAUAAUAAAGAAGAAAUAGUUUUUAAAAAAAAUUUAAAUGAAUCUCGGGGGUCCUUUGUGUAUUACUAAUUUAAAAAAAAGCUAGAGGGACUGUAACAAUUUCCGAAAGAUCUAAAAUAUCCAGAAGAUCCCGAAAAUGUCGGAAAUCCAACAAAUUCAAGAAAUCCGAUAAAUCUAAAAGCCGAAAAAAUUUAAAAAACCCAAAAAACACUAAAAUCCCAAGAAACUCAAGAAAUUGAAUAAUACAAAAAAUCAAAACUAUCUAAAAAGUUUAAACAAUCCAAAAAAUCUAAGAAUUUUAAAAAUCCAAAAAUCUAAAAAAUCCAAAAAAUUAAGAAAAUCUAAGAAAUUCAAGAAGUCCAGAAGAUCCGAAAGAUCUGAAAAAUCUGAAAGAUCCAAACUAUCCAGAAGAUCCAGAAGAUUCAGAAAA